ensembl:lncRNA
UAAUUGUCAGGUAACUACAUGUGCCUUACAAUAGUAAAGCCUCACUAAGAGUUGUUUAGAUGAAGGACGAUCGACUCUAUGUUUUAUAGUUUAACUGUUGAGGACAAUAUUUUCUCCUUUGAGUCAUUUUCUCUUUUACGAACAGUUAGGAAACUAAUCUUCCGAUGCACGCAAAUAGGAAUAACAAUGCGAUUUAAUAUUACAUGUUAUCUUUUUUGUCCUUAAACGAUUUCUUUCCCUUGAACUAGGAUAUUUCAGCAGGUAAUUGCAACAAACUCAAUGCAUAUUCUGUCAUGUACGUUUACCUCUUGCUCAGGUAUAUUUAUUUUAAAAUUAAUAUUUAUUUCAGUGUGUUUAAACAGUAGUAAUGCAUAUCAUGUUUAUAGAGCACGGUGUAUUUUAAAUGUUGGGUUUCUACGCACCGCUAUGCAAAUCUAAAUGCAACGGCACUAAACUCUGUGAUGCAAACAGAAAAAUCUUCAUAUGUUUGGAUAGAAGUGUUAGUUUUCUGUGUGACUGCGACUCUUCUUAACUGUAAGGAUGUAAGCAUGUGACUGAGUAGUACAUCUAUUUUAUGUUAGCUCUAUAAAUGACCUCGCAUGCGUCCGAGGGAACCUGUCAACUGUGAAAUGAAUAAUGAAAACUGAUGCCUGCUCACCAUCUGUUGUUUAGUCUCUUUUGUUAUGUAACACAAAAGUCUGUCUUUAUGUAAAUUAGAAGCCAUGAAAAUGACAACAUGAAAAGUGUUUUCAUCUGUUAUCUUUUAUUUAUGCCGGUGAGCGAUUGUUGUAGCUGUAAACAUGAAGAGUUUUCCAGUCAAAAUUGUGGAGUUUUGCUGUUCAUUAUAGCAGUUGUUACUACUUAACUUAAAAAAGGUUUUAAUUGUUCUAGAAUAUGAUUUUUAUUCAGUAGUCGACAGCGGAGACAGACAAUAAACAUGUACAAUGCCUAUAAAAAUUCAUGAUGCUGCCACCACCAUGCUUCACGUCAUGAUGCUCCCACCAAUAUACC